GACGAACGCUGGCGGCGUGCUUAACACAUGCAAGUCGAACGGAAAGGCCCUGCUUUUGUGGGGUGCUCGAGUGGCGAACGGGUGAGUAACAUGUGAGUAACCUGCCCUUGACUUUGGGAUAACUUCAGGAAACUGGGGCUAAUACCGGAUAGGAGCUCCUGCUGCAUGGUGGGGGUUGGAAAGUUUCGGCGGUUGGGGAUGGACUCGCGGCUUAUCAGCUUGUUGGUGGGGUAGUGGCUUACCAAGGCUUUGACGGGUAGCCGGCCUGAGAGGGUGACCGGCCACAUUGGGACAGAGGUACGGGCCGAACUACUACGGGAGGCGGAAGAGGGGAAUAUUGCACAAUGGGGGGAAGCCUGAUGCAGCAACGCCGCGUGCGGGAUGACGGCCUUCGGGUAGAAAACCACUUUCGCCUGUGACGAAGCGUGAGUGACGGUAAUGGGUAAAGAAGCACCGGCUAACUACGUG
rnacentral:rRNA from 1 species